GACGAACGCUGGCGGCGUGCUUAACACAUGCAAGUCGAACGAAGAGCGAUGGAAGCUUGCUUCUAUCAAUCUUAGUGGCGAACGGGUGAGUAACGCGUAAUCAACCUGCCCUUCAGAGGGGGACAACAGUUGGAAACGACUGCUAAUACCGCAUACGAUCUAACCUCGGCAUCGAGGAUGGAUGAAAGGUGGCCUCUAUUUAUAAGCUAUCACUGAAGGAGGGGAUUGCGUCUGAUUAGCUAGUUGGAGGGGUAACGGCCCACCAAGGCGAUGAUCAGUAGCCGGUCUGAGAGGAUGAACGGCCACAUUGGGACUGAGACACGGCCCAGACUCCUACGGGAGGCAGCAGUGGGGAAUCUUCCGCAAUGGACGAAAGUCUGACGGAGCAACGCCGCGUGAGUGAUGACGGCCUUCGGGUUGUAAAGCUCUGUUAAUCGGGACGAAAGGCCUUCUUGCGAACAGUUAGAAGGA
rnacentral:rRNA from 1 species